rnacentral:misc_RNA from 1 species
CCGAGUGAGGGCCUCUGGCCCGACCUCCAACCCUUUGUUAUCCAAACCACUGUUGCCUCGGGGGCGACCCGUGCCCGUCGGCGUCGGGGCCCCCGAUGGACCAUCCUAAAACUCUGCAUCUUUGCGUCGGGUUUAAAAGUUUAAUUGAUUA